UGUGGGUGCUAGGAUAUUCUGCAUCUCUAUGCAUAUGAUGAAAGACGAGGCAGGGUUAACAACUCAUGAAGGUUCAGCAAGGUCUACGUUUGGGAGUGGCAGCUAUUAGACAUGUUCAGUAGAAAGUGUGGAAGCCACUUAGGAUCAAGACACAUCCAGGAAGCAAGAAAGAGUGGGCACAGAGGGACAAAAAACAAUAGAGAUGAAAUAUUCCAAGUUGAGCUCAG